ACAGGAUCAUUACACCACUUUCUUCUAUUUCCAAAGGCACACACAGGAUUCUUUCUCUCCUCAUCAUUAUUACACUAACAAAGCCUUAUUAUAAAUAAAUCUCUUUUCUACACUCUUCCCAUUCAUUUUCACAUAAAAGCACUUAAUCCCUCAAACUUGCUCAAUUAUUAAGCACUUAUUUUCUCAACCUUUCUCAAUUAUUCUCUAUCACUCCAUAAACCACAACCUUUUUAACACCAACCAAAAGAUGGACACAACUAUAUUCACUCCAAACGACGUCGUUUCAUGCAAUGGAUCAAAAAAAUCAACUAAUUCUGAUUCUAAUCCUAUUCAGUGUUCUAUACCCACUUCGGUGAUCUCUUCGUCCGAGGCCACAUUAGGCCGCCACCUGGCUCGUCGCCUCGUCCAGGUCAGCACCAUUAUUAAUCCUAACGAAUUUGGAUCCUCUCCAUUACUGGAGAGUUUAUUAUUAUAUUGAAAUCAUGAUACGAGACAAAAAUAAAAAUCCAAGUGUCCUAAUUUUAACUCAUUUUUUAAUAAAAUAAAUUAUAAUUAUUGUGUCCGACUCUUAGAGGAGUUGGGCUCAAUUCUAACAACCAAAUUUAAUAACUUUUAGUUUCAUUUGUGUCAAGAAAAUUAAAAUAAUAUUUUUAUUACAAUAAACUCGGCUACAUGAUCGAAUGACACCAUGUCAGAUCAGAUUUAACUACUUUCUUAUAUUUUUUGAUACUAAUCCCUAUCGGGGGUUUUAGUUGCUCCCAAGAAUUUAGUGAGGCCUUAUACUACUGGACCAACGUCUUGUGAGUAGUUUCUUAUAUGUUGUUAUUUAUUUGCAGGUGGGGAUAACGGAUGUGUUCUCCGUUCCCGGGGACUUUAACCUGACGCUCCUCGACCACUUGAUUGCUGAGCCGAAGCUCAACCUCAUCGGCUGCUGUAACGAGCUGAACGCUGGUUAUGCAGCCGAUGGGUACGCGAGGUCGAGGGGCGUUGGUGCUUGUGUUGUUACUUUCACUGUGGGUGGACUUAGUAUUCUCAACGCUAUUGCUGGAGCUUAUAGUGAAAAUUUGCCAUUGAUUUGUAUUGUGGGUGGACCAAAUUCUAAUGAUUAUGGAACUAAUAGGAUUUUGCAUCAUACUAUUGGGUUACCUGAUUUUAGCCAAGAAUUGAGGUGCUUUCAGACUGUUACUUGUUUUCAGGUACCAAUCAUUUCUCAAAAAAAUUGCUUUUUUAUUUGUUUUUUUUUAAUUCACUAAUAGGAGUGUUUCUUUGGGACUUUGAAAUUUUGGUACCAGUUUUUUUGUCAUGAUAUGAACUAAGAUGUUGACAGAUCAUGUUUUGUAGCUUUACCAAUAUUUGUUGGUAUAAUUAAGAAGGUAUCCGAUCACCCUAUGAGUAAGAAACUAAUCUUUUUCAGUUGCAUGACUGUCUCUCCCAAACUCCCAGGAAUUUAACUAUUGACUUUUUGGUCUAAUUGAGAAUUCAGUUGAGCCUUACAUCAUUAGAUCAACUACUGUCACUUUUUAGAUAAAAGUGUGAUCAAUUUGUAAAAGUAAUAUUGUGUCAAUAGAUAUUGUGGAAGGGUGAGAGGAAAUAAUAUUAGUGAACAAUCAAGAUUAGAAGUUACACAAACGAGUGUUAGAAUUAUGAUUCACAUGAAUUAAACUUUCUAUCUAUGAUCUAGUACGAUAUCUAUAGAUCUAGUAAUGUUUUAGAAUAUUUCUGUUGGAGAAUAUAAAUUUUAUUUUUAUUUGGGUCUCAUAUUAUUUUUAAUUUAUUAUACAUUCUAAUAUCUUAAAUAAGAAUAAUUAUUGGUUGUUCUUAGCCAAUGAAAAGUGAGAAAAAAUAUAAAUAUUGUGGGAUCCAAAUAAGAACAAGAAUGAUAUUUGCUAUUGUAAGAAAAAACUAUAUAUUACUCUUAUUUUAUGAGGAAUUAUAAUAGAUUAUAAAAUAAUAUAUGAGACACAAACAAUUGAUUUUAUUUCGAGAUGCCUCCUUCCACGUUGCCAUCUGCCUUUGAUUUCUUCCAUUUGUCACAUCACAACUUCUCCACCACGUUACUUUUCCAUAUAUUUGUCGCACCAAUCAUGGCAUCCAAACUUCUACUCACCACACUCAUUUCAUAUCCAUUCCCCCUUUAUUCACGAGCCGAGAUAUCUUCUGUCUCACAAAUGUGCCACAAGCAUGUAAAUAUUUAUAAUUAGUCAGUAAAAUAAUUAAAUAUUAAAAUUUUAACUUAAAUAUAUAUUUUUAACCAAUCAUAUCCAAGUAUCCAACCACAGAAAUAAAACAAAAUCACCCAUGUAAAAUUGAAAACUAAUUUAAAGAAGACAUGGCUUGGUGGAUGAUAAAAACAUUGAUUCUUUGGUAAGAAAAUUCUAAACAAUUUAAUUUCUUAUGAGAGUCCAACUUCAAAUUUGCUUCACUAGUCAAUAUAAUAUCUCCUUUCUCUUCUUUGAUCUACCUACCUAGUUAUAGUCUUUACUCUCUAGGAUAAAAAUAUCACAAAACAUAAACUAAUAUAAUAUACUAAACUAAAUUAUAUUUCAAAACCUUUACAAACAACAAGUACCAAAACCACCGUCAAUACCUAAACAACUAUAUUAAAACAUAAAACCGCACAUGGUAUCUUCCAAUACUUUCUUUUUUCUCCAUUUCCACCUCCACCCUCUUUCAAUCACAUUUACCUUUUUGUCGUAACAAGAUAUUAGUCUAAUGAUAUAAAGUCAUAUUAGAUUUCAAACAUAAAACUUUAAUUUACGAGAAUGAUACUUUUUGAAAGGGAUAACCACGUAUUCCGAGAUCAAUUAUUUUAGGAAGAAGUUGUGCUUGGUUGUAAUGAUACAAUAAAAUUUUCUCUUUACCACUUUCCAGAGGCACACACAGGAUCAUUACACCACUUUCUUCUAUUUCCAAAGGCACACACAGGAUUCUUUCUCUCCUCAUCAUUAUUACACUAACAAAGCCUUAUUAUAAAUAAAUCUCUUUUCUACACUCUUCCCAUUCAUUUUCACAUAAAAGCACUUAAUCCCUCAAACUUGCUCAAUUAUUAAGCACUUAUUUUCUCAACCUUUCUCAAUUAUUCUCUAUCACUCCAUAAACCACAACCUUUUUAACACCAACCAAAAGAUGGACACAACUAUAUUCACUCCAAACGACGUCGUUUCAUGCAAUGGAUCAAAAAAAUCAACUAAUUCUGAUUCUAAUCCUAUUCAGUGUUCUAUACCCACUUCGGUGAUCUCUUCG
rnacentral:lncRNA from 1 species